GGGUUAAUUAGAAGCUUGCUUCUAACUAACCUAGCGGCGGACGGGUGAGUAACACGUAGGCAACCUGCCCACAAGACAGGGAUAACUACCGGAAACGGUAGCUAAUACCCGAUACAUCCUUUUCCUGCAUGGGAGAAGGAGGAAAGGCGGAGCAAUCUGUCACUUGUGGAUGGGCCUGCGGCGCAUUAGCUAGUUGGUGGGGUAAAGGCCUACCAAGGCGACGAUGCGUAGCCGACCUGAGAGGGUGAUCGGCCACACUGGGACUGAGACACGGCCCAG
rnacentral:rRNA from 1 species